GAUGAACGCUGGCGGCGUGCCUAAUACAUGCAAGUCGAACGCAUAGCGAAAGGUGCUUGCACCUUUCAAGUGAGUGGCGAACGGGUGAGUAACACGUGGACAACCUGCCUCAAGGCUGGGGAUAACAUUUGGAAACAGAUGCUAAUACCGAAUAAAACUUAGUGUCGCAUGACACAAAGUUAAAAGGCGCUUCGGCGUCACCUAGAGAUGGAUCCGCGGUGCAUUAGUUAGUUGGUGGGGUAAAGGCCUACCAAGACAAUGAUGCAUAGCCGAGUUGAGAGACUGAUCGGCCACACUGGGACUGAGACACGGCCCAAACUCCUACGGGAGGCUGCAGUAGGGAAUCUUCCACAAUGGGCGAAAGCCUGAUGGAGCAACGCCGCGUGUGUGAUGAAGGCUUUCGGGUCGUAAAGCACUGUUGUAUGGGAAGAACAGCUAGAAUAGGAAAUGAUUUUAGUUUGACGGUACCAUACCAGAAAGGGACGGCUAACUACGUG
rnacentral:rRNA from 1 species